GACCUGCUGGUGUAACGGUUACACACCUGCACAUAUUGAACCGGUAAUCAUCAAACUUUGUGCAGGGGAUCCCUUGUUCGAAUCGGGGGCGGGUCC